rnacentral:rRNA from 1 species
GAUGAACGCUAGCGGCAGGCUUAAUACAUGCAAGUCGAGGGGCAGCACGGUUAGCAAUAACUGGUGGCGACCGGCGCACGGGUGCGUAACACGUAUACAAUCUACCUUAAACAGGGGGAUAGCCUUUCGAAAGAGAGAUUAAUACCCCGUAAUAAAUUGAACGGCAUCGUUUGAUUUUGAAAGCUCCGGCGGUUUGAGAUGAGUAUGCGUCUGAUUAGCUAGUUGGUGAGGUAACGGCUCACCAAGGCGACGAUCAGUAGGGGAUCUGAGAGGACUAACCCCCACACUGGUACUGAGACACGGACCAGACUCCUACGGGAGGCAGCAGUAAGGAAUAUUGGUCAAUGGAGGCAACUCUGAACCAGCCAUGCCGCGUGCAGGAUGACGGCCCUAUGGGUUGUAAACUGCUUUUAUACAAGAGAAAACCCUGGUACGUGUACCAGGUUGAUAGUAUUGUAAGAAUAAGCAUCGGCUAACUUCGUGCC